UAAAAAAUAAGCUAAUAAAGCUAAUGAGUUCAUACCUCAUUUAUAGAAGUUUAACCUUCUUUUUUUAA
rnacentral:tRNA from 1 species